rnacentral:rRNA from 1 species
GUGGGGAAUAUUGGACAAUGGGCGCAAGCCUGAUCCAGCCAUGCCGCGUGAGUGAUGAAGGCCUUAGGGUUGUAAAGCUCUUUCAGUGGGGACGAUAAUGACGGUACCCACAGAAGAAGCCCCGGCUAAUUUCGUGCCAGCAGCCGCGGUAAUACGAAGGGGGCUAGCGUUGUUCGGAUUUACUGGGCGUAAAGCGCACGUAGGCGGGUCGUUAAGUCAGGGGUGAAAUCCUGGAGCUCAACUCCAGAACUGCCUUUGAUACUGGCGAGCUAGAGUCCGGAAGAGGUGAGUGGAACUCCUAGUGUAGAGGUGGAAUUCGUAGAUAUUAGGAAGAACACCAGUGGCGAAGGCGGCUCACUGGUCCGGUACUGACGCUGAGGUGCGAAAGCGUGGGGAGCAAACAGGAUUAGAAACCCUAGUAGUCC